AGCUCCGACUGUACCACGGCGCCGCCGUUCUUCUCCGGAAGGCCGUCGCCACCCUCCAAGAGAUGAACGACUUCACAAUCAAUAUGACGCCGGAGGAGGUGACCCUGGCGACUUUUGGUCAAAGUGUUUAAGGAGGAGUCCAUCUCUCCGCAAUGCUUUGGAUGCCGAAUUCGAUCUUGACUCUCCUCAAUUGCGACGCUACGUCAUGUUUCCGGCUCAACCCCUCCAUCUUGCUCCACCAUCUGAGUCGGGUCGGUGACGACGACGUUCUCAAAAUUCACGGAGGCGAUGGCAACGAUCGUAUCACCUUUCUCACUACGAAUCUCGCCUCCAGAAUGUAUUAUUGGGGGCGUCUAGCAUGCACAUCCAGUUUCCUUUAACUUCAGCCUCCGCUUCCUCACCGUUAUCCUCAACACAUGUCGUCUGUCAAACAUUCUGGAGGAUGCAUCAUCCAUUGUAUGGUUUCUCUAUUCAGAGAAUUUACAUCCCCUGCUGAAUUGCCCUAUUGGUUCAAUAGGCAACAUCACGUUGUGCCAUGACUGGGCCAAUAUGAUAUAGGAGUCUGCUCCAAGACAAUCUGCUGCAAGACAAUCCUUUCUACACACGUAUUGAUACAUUCUUAAAGAAUGUGCUCUUGUUUGAUCACAAGUGUAAAUGAUCCACACAGGAUGAAGUGAGAUGCAGUCGAAAACUCACGAAAUGUAAAUCUCUGUUAAGUGAGAUAUACAUAUCCUAUGUACAAAUGCUUUGGCAUGAAGGAUUAUAAUCUCUGUGUUUUUUUUAACAUCAAUUGAUCUUUCACUAGUAGAUGCCACAAUC